AUCGGCUGCCUAAUACAUGCAAGUCGAACGAACUCUGGUAUUGAUUGGUGCUUGCAUCAUGAUUUACAUUUGAGUGAGUGGCGAACUGGUGAGUAACACGUGGGAAACCUGCCCAGAAGCGGGGGAUAACACCUGGAAACAGAUGCUAAUACCGCAUAACAACUUGGACCGCAUGGUCCGAGCUUGAAAGAUGGCUUCGGCUAUCACUUUUGGAUGGUCCCGCGGCGUAUUAGCUAGAUGGUGGGGUAACGGCUCACCAUGGCAAUGAUACGUAGCCGACCUGAGAGGGUAAUCGGCCACAUUGGGACUGAGACACGGCCCAAACUCCUACGGGAGGCAGCAGUAGGGAAUCUUCCACAAUGGACGAAAGUCUGAUGGAGCAACGCCGCGUGAGUGAAGAAGGGUUUCGGCUCGUAAAACUCUGUUGUUAAAGAAGAACAUAUCUGAGAGUAACUGUUCAGGUAUUGACGGUAUUUAACCAGAAAGCCACGGCUAACUACGUGCCAGCAGCCGCGGUAAUACGUAGGUGGCAAGCGUUGUCCGGAUUUAUUGGGCGUAAAGCGAGCGCAGGCGGUUUUUUAAGUCUGAUGUGAAAGCCUUCGGCUCAACCGAAGAAGUGCAUCGGAGACUGGGAAACUUGAGUGCAGAAGAGGACAGUGGAACUCCAUGUGUAGCGGUGAAAUGCGUAGAUAUAUGGAAGAACACCAGUGGCGAAGGCGGCUGUCUGGUCUGUAACUGACGCUGAGGCUCGAAAGUAUGGGUAGCGAACAGGAUUAGAUACCCUGGUAGUCCAUACCGUAAACGAUGAAUGCUAAGUGUUGGAGGGUUUCCGCGCUUCAGUGCUGCAGCUAACGCAUUAAGCAUUCCGCCUGCGGAGUACUGUCGCAAGGCUGAGACUCAAAGGAAUUGACGGGGGCCCGCACAAUCGGUGGAGCAUGUGGUUUAUUUCGAAGCUACGCGAAGAACCUUACCAGGUCUUGACGUACUAUGCAAAUCUAAUAGAUUAGACGAUACCUUCCGGGACUGGGAUACCGGUGAGGCAUGGGUGUCGUCACCUCCUGUCGUGAGAUGUUGGGUUAAGUNCGGGAACGAGCGCAACCCUUAUUAUCAGUUGCCAGCCUUACCUUGGGCAUUCUGGUGAGACUGCCGGUGAAAAACCGGAAGAAAGGGGGGGAUGACGUUUAAACAUCAUGCCCCUUNUGACCUUGGUU
rnacentral:rRNA from 1 species